rnacentral:lncRNA from 1 species
GUUGUGGGUAACGCGGACGUGGAAGAACCUCGUCUGCGGAGGAAAAGUCCCAGGUGCCGAGUCAAUCCCCAUACACAGCCGCCGCCAUUGCCUCGAGUCCUUGUGUCUGACUGUCUGUUCCUGCUGCUGUAUGACACAGCACCUCGAGGCAAGGAAAUAAGAAAACUGCCUCUGAUCCAAGCAGAGAAGGUCUGCCUGUAGAUCUGCUGUAGGGCUUGUCACCAUUGGAAGCAAGGUCCUACUUCAGUGGCAGAUCUGGUGGCCUUGGAGUGGCUGAAGACCACCACCCUCCACAGGGCUGGGCCCAUGCACAGCCAUCCUUCCCUACCUUGAAACUCCUGUAGCCUGUAAUACCAGCUGUGGGUACUACUCUCAGUGUUGGAGAUCAUCAAAAUACAAUUGGACCAGACCCUUUGGAAAUAAUUCUGUGUCUCAAAUGCCCUGUGGAGCACACACUUAAUCAGUUGAUGGCUAUGGAAUUUUCCAACAUCAGCUAAAGAGAAGGGAUAGAGUGGUGACUUCCAAGCUUCAUGCAGAACCGGACAACAGAAAUUGAGAGGGAAAUUUCUAUGACAGAAGAGAGAAAGAAGAAAAUUGCUGGAAUAAUGACCUUGAAUAGAGGAAAUGGGAUAUCAUCUGGUAAG